rnacentral:rRNA from 1 species
GCGAGUGGCGAACGGGUGAGUAAUAUAUCGGAACGUACCCAAGAGUGGGGGAUAACGUAGCGAAAGUUACGCUAAUACCGCAUACGAUCUAAGGAUGAAAGCAGGGGAUCUUCGGACCUUGUGCUCUUGGAGCGGCCGAUAUCUGAUUAGCUAGUUGGUGAGGUAAAGGCUCACCAAGGCCACGAUCAGUAGCUGGUCUGAGAGGACGACCAGCCACACUGGAACUGAGACACGGUCCAGACUCCUACGGGAGGCAGCAGUAGGGAAUCUUCCGCAAUGGACGAAAGUCUGACGGAGCAACGCCGCGUGAGUGAAGAAGGUUUUCGGAUCGUAAAACUCUGUUGUGAGGGAAGAACAAGUACCAACUAACUACUGGUACCUUGACGGUACCUCACCAGAAAGCCACGGCUAACUACGUGCCAGCAGCCGCGGUAAUACGUAGGUGGCAAGCGUUGUCCGGAAUUAUUGGGCGUAAAGCGCGCGCAGGCGGUUCUUUAAGUCUGAUGUGAAAGCCCACGGCUCAACCGUGGA